rnacentral:rRNA from 1 species
AACGAACGCUGGCGGCAUGCCUAACACAUGCAAGUCGAACGAGACCUUCGGGUCUAGUGGCGCACGGGUGCGUAACGCGUGGGAACCUGCCCUUAGGUUCGGAAUAACUCCCCGAAAGGGGUGCUAAUACCGGAUAAUGUCUUCGGACCAAAGAUUUAUCGCCUUUGGAUGGGCCCGCGUUGGAUUAGCUAGUUGGUAGGGUAAAAGCCUACCAAGGCGACGAUCCAUAGCUGGUCUGAGAGGAUGAUCAGCCACACUGGGACUGAGACACGGCCCAGACUCCUACGGGAGGCAGCAGUGGGGAAUAUUGGACUAUGGGAGAAAGCCUGAUCCAGCAAUGCCGCGUGAGUGAUGAAGGCCUUAGGGUUGUAAAGCUCUUUUACCCGGGAUGAUAAUGACAGUACCGGGAGAAUAAGCUCCGGCUAACUCCGUG